rnacentral:rRNA from 1 species
UACGUAGGUGGCAAGCGUUGUCCGGAAUUAUUGGGCGUAAAGCGCGCGCAGGCGGUCCUUUAAGUCUGAUGUGAAAGCCCACGGCUCAACCGUGGAGGGUCAUUGGAAACUGGAGGACUUGAGUACAGAAGAGGAAAGCGGAAUUCCACGUGUAGCGGUGAAAUGCGUAGAGAUGUGGAGGAACACCAGUGGCGAAGGCGGCUCUCUGGAACGCAACUGACGCUGAGACGCGAAAGCGUGGGGAGCAAACAGG